rnacentral:lncRNA from 1 species
UCUGCCCUUUUAACGGUGGAGUUGGGAGGUUGGCUCUUUUUAAUAACCUGUGUUCUGAGGAGAGCGUUGGCCUCUUGCCUUCGGGGAAAGCGGAAGCAACUAUUUCCACAAACUGAAGCACUUUGGGUUAUUCAGGGUUUUUGGAACUGGUCGCAGCUUAAAGAGAUGGGGCCAAAGGAGGAAUGUUAAUAAUGCAGAGUGAAGGCUGCAAACCCAUGUACAUCAUGAAGUACAGCUGCUGAAAAACUCCCAGCUCGGAGGGACGGCUGCUCACCAGGCCUGCACACCACAGGAACCAUUAACUGCUCGCUUGGCAGGCGCUGCCUCACAGCCAAUCCCCAUUCCCAGCUGCAAAAAGCUGCUUUGAAUUCACAUUCAGGGCGGGCUACUUGCUUCCUGUCUCCUUCCAAACCCCAGCUCGCUCCCAGCAGCCUGUUGAAGGUGAUGGGGGAACUCUCUCCACCCUCCUUCCCUCCUAGACACCACUCCAAGGGCUGGUUGCACACCAAGUACGUGUCUCUCAAAAGCUUUCUGUGUCCCUCAAAGCUUUUUGGACCAGAAGGGAAGCUACAUUUCAUUUGUUGACGGGUCUUCUGCCCUUUGGGUGCAUCCCACCCGGCCCCACUGGUCUGGACCCUCUUUCUAAAGCAAGAUGGCAGCAGGGCUGCUCCUCCCAGGAGGAGCUGCAGCGGGAUGUGUUCAGGCAGUUGUACCAACACCGGGUCCUCCUGCCUGUAAGCUGAUCUGUGGCAUCAGGUUUCACUCGAUGGAAUAUGAGUUUUCCCUCAGCAGAGCCGCCCCUGUGCAGGAGGAAGGGGCUGAUCCCAUUUCCCCCAGGCCCACUUGGCUCCCAGAGCAAAGGGGAUGCAACUCCAGCCCCAAAGCAAAGACGAGCAGAGUUUGCCCCUCUAAACCUCUUCAGCUCUGGUUUUGGCUCUCAAAGGGAACCAACCCCAAUUGCACAAGCACAGGCUAUGGAUGGUGAAGAGAUGCACAGAGCUAAGAACACAACAGACUUCCCAGGCCCUAGAGCAAGCCCAGCUCUUGGAUAUCAGACCUGAAGAGGAAUUUCUAGAGAAUCAAAACACCCUAAAAAUACCCUAAAUCAAUGUAUUAUUUCUGAGAGAAUGGGCUGAGAUUUAUAGAAAUUAUGGAUUUACAGUAAUGAGUGACCAGAUUGAGCAGGUUACAUCCCUUGAUCCCUUUUGACCCAAACCAUUCUGGGAUUCUACA